rnacentral:tRNA from 1 species
AGUCUUAUAUUCAAUUAUGAUUUAAAAUUGCAAAUUUUAAGGUGUUUCAAGAGUUACUAAGGCUU